AUGAAGGAGUUCCUGAAGAAACAGACUACCGACUCGAUGUUCCUCGUGUGCACAGACAGAGCUUCGCGAGGGAUCGACUUCACAAACGUGAACCACGUGGUGCUCUUCGACUACCCCUGUGACCCGAGCGAGUACGUGCGCAGGGUCGGCAGGACAGCCCGCGGCGCAUCGGGUGACGGCAAGGCUUUCGUGUUCGCGGUGGGGAAGCAGGUGUCCCUGGCCAGGAGGGUGAUGGAGAGGAACCUCAAGGGGCACCCGCUACACGACGUCCCGUGCUUCCAGUUCUAG
rnacentral:rRNA from 1 species